GUUGUAUAGUUAAGUAAUGAAGCGUACAGGGCGGAUGCCUUGGCAAUCAGAGGCGAAGAAGGACGUGCUAAUCUGCGAAAAGUCUGGAGGAGUUGAUAAGAAGCGUGAUAACUCCAGAAUAUCCGAAUGGGGAAACCCAGUAGAUGAAGAAUCUACUAUCAUUAACUGAAUCCAUAGGUUAAUGAGGCGAACCGGGAGAACUGAAACAUCUAAGUACCCCGAGGAAAAGAAAUCAACCGAGAUUCCGUGAGUAGCGGCGAGCGAAAGCGGAGUAGCCAGUAAGUGAUAGUUUUGUUAUCAGUAGAAGGUGUUGGAAAGCACCGCCAUAGCGGGUGAUAGCCCCGUAUACGAAGAUAAUGAAAUGGUACUAGGCUUACGAGAAGUAGUGCGGGACACGAGAAAUCCUGUAUGAAGAUAGGGGGCCCAUCCUCUAAGGCUAAAUACUCCUGAUUGACCGAUAGUGAACCAGUACUGUGAAGGAAAGGCGAAAAGAACCCCGGUGAGGGGAGUGAAAUAGAACCUGAAACCCUGUACGUACAAGCAGUGGGAGCCCGCUCACUCAAUGUUAUUGAGUGGCGGAAACGUUGAAAAAACAGACCGCACUUUAGGGUUAAUUUUUCGUGAAACGAAAAAUUUAACCCCCAAAGAAGCAGUGAGAUUGAGUGAGCGGGUGACUGCGUACCUUUUGUAUAAUGGGUCAGCGACUUAUAUUUUGUAGCGAGGUUAACCGCAUAGGGAAGCCGAAGGGAAACCGAGUCUUAACUGGGCGAGAAGUUGCAAGGUAUAGACCCGAAACCCGGUGAUCUAGCCAUGGGCAGGUUGAAGGUUGGGUAACACUAACUGGAGGACCGAACCGACUAAUGUUGAAAAAUUAGCGGAUGACUUGUGGCUGGGGGUGAAAGGCCAAUCAAACCGGGAGAUAGCUGGUUCUCCCCGAAAUCUAUUUAGGUAGAGCCUUAAGUGAAUACCUUCGGGGGUAGAGCACUGUUUCGGCUAGGGGUCCAUCCCGGAUUACCAACCCGAUGCAAACUGCGAAUACCGAAGAGUACUGCUUAGGAGACACACGGCGGGUGCUAACGUCCGUCGUGGAGAGGGAAACAACCCAGACCGCCAGCUAAGGUCCCCAAGUCUAUAUUAAGUGGGAAACGAAGUGGGAAGGCUUAGACAGCUAGGAUGUUGGCUUAGAAGCAGCCACCAUUUAAAGAAAGCGUAAUAGCUCACUAGUCGAGUCGGCCUGCGCGGAAGAUGUAACGGGGCUAAAAUAUAGCACCGAAGCUGCGGCAUCAGAGUAAACUCUGUUGGGUAGGGGAGCGUUGUGUAAGCCGUAGAAGGUGUAUUGAGAAGUAUGCUGGAGGUAUCACAAGUGCGAAUGCUGACAUAAGUAACGAUAAAACGGGUGAAAAACCCGUUCGCCGAAAGACCAAGGUUUCCUGUCCAACGUUAAUCGGGGCAGGGUGAGUCGGCCCCUAAGGCGAGGCUGAAAAGCGUAGUCGAUGGGAAACGGGUUAAUAUUCCCGUACUUGAAUAAACUGCGAUGUGGGGACGGAGCAGGUUAAGUUAGCAGUAGAUUGGAUUGUACUGUUUAAGUUUGUAGGUGGGGUUUUUAGGCAAAUCCGGAAACCUGAUAACACUGAGAAAUGAUGACGACGCUCUAUUGGGCGGAAGUAACUGAUACCCAACUUCCAGGAAAAGCCACUAAGCUUCAGGUUUAUUUAAACCGUACUGAAAACCGACACAGGUGGUUAGGUAGAGAAUACUCAGGCGCUUGAGAGAACUCGGGUGAAGGAACUAGGCAAAAUAGCACCGUAACUUCGGGAGAAGGUGCGCUGGCGUAGUGUGAAGUUUGCACAAAUGGAGCACGAACCAGUCGAAGUGACCCGCUGGCUGCAACUGUUUAUUAAAAACACAGCACUCUGCAAACACGUAAGUGGAAGUAUAGGGUGUGAUGCCUGCCCGGUGCUGGAAGGUUAAUUGAUGGUGUCAUCGCAAGAGAAGCACUUGAUCGAAGCCCCAGUAAACGGCGGCCGUAACUAUAACGGUCCUAAGGUAGCGAAAUUCCUUGUCGGGUAAGUUCCGACCUGCACGAAUGGCAUAAUGAUGGCCAGGCUGUCUCCACCCGAGACUCAGUGAAAUUGAAAUCGCCGUGAAGAUGCGGUGUACCCGCGGCUAGACGGAAAGACCCCGUGAACCUUUACUAUAGCUUGACACUGAACCUUGAAUUUUGAUGUGUAGGAUAGGUGGGAGACUUUGAAGUGGUAACGCCAGUUAUCAUGGAGUCGUUGUUGAAAUACCACCCUUUAACGUUUGAUGUUCUAACGAAGACUGCGAAACGCGGUUUCGGACAGUGUCUGGUGGGUAGUUUGACUGGGGCGGUCUCCUCCCAAAGAGUAACGGAGGAGCACGAAGGUUUGCUAAUCACGGUCGGACAUCGUGAGGAUAGCGCAAUGGUAAAAGCAAGCUUAACUGCGAGACGGACAAGUCGAGCAGGUGCGAAAGCAGGUCAUAGUGAUCCGGUGGUUCUGAAUGGAAGGGCCAUCGCUCAACGGAUAAAAGGUACUCCGGGGAUAACAGGCUGAUACCGCCCAAGAGUUCAUAUCGACGGCGGUGUUUGGCACCUCGAUGUCGGCUCAUCACAUCCUGGGGCUGAAGUAGGUCCCAAGGGUAUGGCUGUUCGCCAUUUAAAGUGGUACGCGAGCUGGGUUUAGAACGUCGUGAGACAGUUCGGUCCCUAUCUGCCGUGGGCGUAGGAUAAUUGAGAGGGGCUGCUCCUAGUACGAGAGGACCGGAGUGGACGCAUCACUGGUGUUCCAGUUGUCUCGCCAGAGGCAUUGCUGGGUAGCUAAAUGCGGAAGAGAUAAGUGCUGAAAGCAUAUAAGCACGAAACUUGCCUUGAGAUGAGUUAUCCCAAUCUAAGGAUUGUAAGGGUUGUUUGAGACGAAGACGUAGAUAGGCUGGGUGUGUAAGCGUUGUGAGACGUUGAGCUAACCAGUACUAAUUGCCCGAGAGGCUUAACUAUACAACGCU
rnacentral:rRNA from 1 species